UGACCAUUUUAGGAACUUUAUCCAGAGAAGAGGCACCAUUAGCCGACACCAAACUCUUCGCUCCCACGUUUUCCAGUGACUCCACAGCCUGCAGGUGGCAGGAACACGGCGAGAAGGGCACUGCAGGUCUGUUUCCAUGAUCUCCCAGGACUACAAUUUCCAAGUGGGAAUACAGAAACAUUAAUAUCACAUGGACUAAGCCUUCUCUCUCUUCUGUAUUCAGAAGUGGUUACAUACAAAACAAGGAGAUGAGGGAGCCAAAGAAUGAAAAGUCUUCAUAAGGAUGUGGGAACACAUGAGGAAGUCAGUGAAAGUUGGAGCCUGAUGUGGGAGGACAUAAAUCACUCUCAGCUGUGAAGGAACUAAAAGCGUUUGGCUUUGCUGGGGAGAGAAGUCUUACUGGACAGAAAUAAAAUCAGCAACCAGAUCAGUGUUU